rnacentral:tRNA from 1 species
CGGGAAAUAGUAUAAAGUCAUUACCAGGUGCUUACAACGCUUAAAUAGGAAGUUUCCUUUUCUCGA